CUCUUAUAGGGACACUUCCGGUAAGACCUUCAAAAUAAAAUAGUUUGAAGCUUGUAUCAGCUUUUUUCCCUCACUGGCUUAAAUAAAUUAGACAAUUUAUGGUGUCAAUAAUGAUUUUACUACAGUUUUUAUAUUUACAUACAACUCUUUUGUUUCUUCAGUUUUGUCAGUGUGAAGAAGUAAAAAAUCAUUCCUACACUGGGAAGUGAAUUUAUAAUUUAUUUAUACCUACAAAAAGUAACUAGUAAUUGGUGAUGCAAACAUAAAUGUAGUGGAGUAAAUGUACAAUAUUUUCCUUUGAUUUGUAGUUGAGUAACAAGUAACAUGAUAUGAAGAUAAUUAAGUACCUCAAAACUACUGCAGUAUACUACUGGAGUAAAUGUACUUAGUUACUUACCACCUCUGGACCAACUCUCUGCUUUUCUGACCUUAUUUCACUUUCAUUUUUUUUUAAAUGAUAUUGUUGCUUCAAAGAUCACAUUAAGUCUGCAACAACAGCUUCAGUUAAAAUCCUCUGAAGUGGAUUAGUGUCAAUUUGUACCUUUUAUAUUGAUAAUAAUUGGUUUCUUGUCUAAUAAGAUCACAGAUCUAAAUAGUUUUGAGCUGGAUGUGCAUUAGAGGUGAUUCAUCUACAUGCUCCUCUGGAUGAUUAGUUGCAGGUUAAUUGUAUUUUACAGGGAGGUGGGUUCAACGCUGACUAGGAGCUGCGUGCUUUUAUUUUGAAAACCUGACCUGGAAGGAGAAGUUAGGAUCCGUGUUGGUUUCUAUCGGCUCGACUUUCUUUACUCGAACAUCUGUGUGUCACCAAACAGCAUCUUAUACAACAGUUUGUUGUAUAAGAUACUUCUAAUCCUCUAAACUACACCUGCAGCCGCCGCGUUCACCGGUCAACAUGUCAAAUUUAGAGGCGCAGGUAGGCGCCAUUUUGGAGCUGAUGGUGAACUCGGCUGUCAUGGAAAUGAGCAAAGUUAUCGGCGGCUGCUCUUCGACACAAGUGUCACCGUGCACGGCUGAAAACACGCACGAAUCGGAGAAGGUGAUCCAGCUCAGCAUCUUCAUGACGUCUCUGGCUCGGGAAGCUGUGGAGAAGAUCUGCCAGCUUUUCCAUGAAUGUUCGUCUCUGCUGCGACUGGAAGUGUCACAGGGUGUGUUGGAGAUUGAGGAACUGAGGAGGAGACUGGAGGUGGAGGAGCUGGUGGAAGGAGCAGAUGGGGCGACUGUUCAGACCAACCAGCGCUCAGGGAGGAAGAGUCACAGAGUUGUGUCCAGUGUUGAUGCUGGAGUGAAGAGAUCGCCUAUAAUUCACCUGUGGAAAGGCAGAACGUAUGAGGUACAUUUCUGUUUUGUCUUGCAUAGAUGUUGUCACGUCAUUUAGACCUGACCUUGUAAGAAGUAAAAACAGAUUAUUAUUGCUCUUGAAACCUGAAUCAGGCGCCAUAUGAGCUGUCGCAUCGUAGUUUAUUUUUGGAUUUUAUUAACUUGCUCUGA
rnacentral:lncRNA from 1 species